UAAAUUCUAAAAAGUGCAGCUGCACUUUUUAGAGUUCCCGAGCACACACCCUUCCGCGUCGUUCGAUCGAAAUCGCGGCCUCAGGUGCUGGGCGGUCGGGCCGAAACACUUACCCGGUCUCUCUCCCCCGUUCAACCUGUGGCCGUUCCCCACGAGGCCACGACCCACUCCUCUGCCACGAACUCACCUUCUCCCUCCCCCUGCGCACACCUUCCUCCACGGCCGGCCAGAUCUGCUGCAUUCACCUCCAUUGACCCGGCCCUCGCGUUGGCCCGUCUCCAUCGAGCCAAAUCCUACGCCGGAGCUCCUCCUUCCUCGGCCUUCUUCUCCGCCAAACCGGCAGCGAAGCACCCCGCCAGAGCAGACGCGUUCCCCAGCCCCGGACCGGCGGCGACGCGACCCCGCACCCUGCUUCUCCCUCUCGGCAUCAUCCUGCACCCUGCAGCGUCGAUCCCUCGCCAGGUCUUGACAUCCCGUGACUGGGAGUUCGAUUCCUGUUGGAUCCAGGCCCUUCGCGUCCAACAACGACAACAAAAGAAGGCAGCAGCUGCUCCCGCAGAUUCCAACCGGAGACGGCCCCCUCUGCUCACGCGCCCCUCGGAGAUCCCCUACAGUUCAACUCCCUGGCCGCGAAGUACAGGGAGGAUUCUCUCGAAGCCUUGCCUCAAACUCUCCGUCCAAAGCCAUGACUGCAGGGGUCAUGUGGACGACGGCGAGAAGCACGGCGAGGUGGAUGCGGCGUAGUACCUCACUAGAUUCCCCUCCUGCUCUUCGUCCACAGGAUCAAUUCACCGAAGCAACAUCAGCAACAAUACGUGCAAGCAAACAAGCAAGCAGGCAAGCUGGUUGAUUGAUGAACAGUAGCUGCAGCCUCUUCAGAGCAAGCGGAGGGGAUGAGAGAGGUGUCGGAGUACCAGCGACCAGCAAGAGAAACAAGAGGAAGAGCCAAGGAGACAGCGCCAUCUGUGCGCCACGACCAUCUAGCGGGUGGAGCUAGAUCCGGGAAAGCAUUGUCUCGAGUGGUCGAGGAACUGGUCCGUAAAUUACCGUGUCAAGGCAACAUGGUUUUAUGCACACGCCCACGCAAGAAGCUUCAAAAUCCACUUCGAGGUGUAGUAUAAAUCAAAUAUUAUCUACUCAUGCUUGAAGAAACAAGGGGAAAACAAUAGAAAAAGUGUUGCAAUUAGGAUGACCAAGGCGAGGAAAAAUCAAACCUUCUCUUUUUUUUCCUCCUCUGCACCCUGGUUCAUUUUUAGCAAGCAAGAUUUUUGCUACACACUUCAAGAGUUUUGUAAAACAGGAGGCGUCUGAGAGGGCACAUCAAGAUGGAAGCUCACCUUUCAGGUCCAUGGCCAUCAAAACGAGGGGCAGCAGUUGUGGCAAUGGAGGAGAGGACGGAUGGAGAAGGGGAGGUUAAGCGGGGGUGUUUGGGGAGGUAGCGACUGGGAAGGAGGGAAGGAGGGUUUGGUGCGUCGGCGCUAAUGUCGGGAACGGAGCAGCAGUUGCUAUCAUGACAGAUUCUCCCCUGGGAGCCAUGGGCGUGAGGCGGCCGUUUGUUUCCUUUUUUGGUUUGCCAGCUGGAUCCGGGGAGAGGCCCACUACUAAUUUUGGGGUGUGUGCCCUGGGCCGCUAGCCAGUCGUUGCUGGCUAGUCGCGUCCAAAAAAAAUAGAAUGCUUGUCUUGCCUAAAAAAGAGUAAAAUGCUUGCCUAUAUAUAUAUAGUGUUAUUAUUCAUCA